GCAUCCAGGCCGGCCAUCCCUGGGGCUAAUAAUAGUAACAACAACAGCAGCAGCGGCGGCGGCAGCAGGAGCAAUAAAUAGCCCUGCGAUUGCACCUCCUUUCCAUUCUGCUGGGUGCCAUGAGAGGGCCCCAGGUGCCCUCACCUUUUUCCCAAGACCUGGCUCGCCAAAGAGGAACUGCCUCUUGAGGUGCAGUGAGAACAAAUCUCACCUCUCCCAGCACCCAGCAGGCAGGAACAGGCACGCACUGCUAUCAAGAUUAAUAGACGAAAAGAAGGCAUUAAUUAAUG
rnacentral:lncRNA from 10 species